rnacentral:rRNA from 1 species
AGAGUUUGAUCCUGGCUCAGAAUCAACGCUGGCGGCGUGCCUAACACAUGCAAGUCGAACGAGAAAGUGGUAGCAAUACCAUGAGUAAAGUGGCGCACGGGUGAGUAACACGUGACUAACCUACCCUUGAGUGGGGGAUAACUGAGGGAAACCUUAGCUAAUACCGCAUAAUACCUACGGGUCAAAGGAGCAAUUCGCUUAAGGAGGGGGUCGCGGCCGAUUAGUUAGUUGGCAGGGUAACGGCCUACCAAGACGAUGAUCGGUAUCCGGCCUGAGAGGGCGCACGGACACACUGGAACUGAAACACGGUCCAGACUCCUACGGGAGGCAGCAGUGGGGAAUUUUGCGCAAUGGGGGAAACCCUGACGCAGCAACGCCGCGUGGAGGAUGAAGUCCUUCGGGACGUAAACUCCUUUCGAUCGGGACGAUUAUGACGGUACCGGAAGAAGAAGCCCCGGCUAACUUCGUGCCAGCAGCCGCGGUAAUACGAGGGGGGCGAGCGUUGUUCGGAAUUAUUGGGCGUAAAGGGUGCGUAGGCGGUUUGGUAAGUCUUUUGUGAAAUCUCUGGGCUCAACUCAGAGCUUGCAGGAGAAACUGCCGGGCUUGAGUGUGGGAGAGGUGAGUGGAAUUCCUGGUGUAGCGGUGAAAUGCGUAGAUAUCAGGAGGAACACCUGUGGCGAAAGCGGCUCACUGGACCACAACUGACGCUGAUGCACGAAAGCUAGGGGAGCAAACAGGAUUAGAUACCCUGGUAGUCCUAGCCCUAAACGAUGACUGCUUGGUGUGACGGGUACCCAAUCCCGCCGUGCCGUAGCUAACGCGUUAAGCAGUCCGCCUGGGGAGUACGGUCGCAAGGCUGAACUCAAGGAAUUGACGGGGCCCGCACAAGCGGUGGAGCAUGUGGUUUAAUUCGACGCAACGCGAAGAACCUUACCUGGGCUCG